rnacentral:rRNA from 1 species
CGGGUCGCUCCAGCAGUGGGGAAUAUUGCACAAUGGACGAAAGUCUGAUGCAGCAACGCCGCGUGGAGGAUGACACAUUUCGGUGCGUAAACUCCUUUUAUAUAAGAAGAUAAUGACGGUACUAUAUGAAUAAGCACCGGCUAACUCCGUGCCAGCAGCCGCGGUAAUACGGAGGGUGCAAGCGUUACUCGGAAUCACUGGGCGUAAAGAGCGUGUAGGCGGGUUAAUAAGUUGGAAGUGAAAUCCUAUGGCUCAACCAUAGAACUGCUUCCAAAACUGUUAACCUAGAAUAUGGGAGAGGUAGAUGGAAUUUCUGGUGUAGGGGUAAAAUCCGUAGAGAUCAGAAGGAAUACCGAUUGCGAAGGCGAUCUACUGGAACAUUAUUGACGCUGAGACGCGAAAGCGUGGGGGGCAAACAGGAUUAGAUACCCCGGUAGUC